rnacentral:misc_RNA from 1 species
GAUGAAGAACGUAGCGAAAUGCGAAAAGUAAUGUGAAUUGCAGAAUUCAGUGAACCAUCGAAUCUUUGAACGCACAUUGCGCCCGCUGGAACUCCGGCGGGCACGCCUGUCCGAGCGUCAUUUCAACCCUCAGGCCCCCCUUCGCGGGCGGGCCUGGUUUUGGGGCCCGGCCGCUACCCUGCGGCCGUCCCCUAAAUCCAGUGGCGGCCUCGCCGUGAUCCCUUGCGUAGUAAUGCACCUCGCACCGGAGAGCGCCGUGGCCACGCCGUAAAACCCCCAAUUUUCAAUGGUUGACCUCGGAUCAGGUGGGAAUACCCGCUGAACUUAAGCAUAUCAAUAAGCGGAGGA